AGUGAACGCUGGCGGUAGGCCUAACACAUGCAAGUCGAACGGCAGCACAGUAAGAGCUUGCUCUUACGGGUGGCGAGUGGCGGACGGGUGAGGAAUACAUCGGAAUCUACUUUUUCGUGGGGGAUAACGUAGGGAAACUUACGCUAAUACCGCAUACGACCUACGGGUGAAAGCAGUGGAUCUUCGGACCUUGCGCGAUUGAAUGAGCCGAUGUCGGAUUAGCUAGUUGGCGGGGUAAGGGCCCACCAAGGCGACGAUCCGUAGCUGGUCUGAGAGGAUGAUCAGCCACACUGGAACUGAGACACGGUCCAGACUCCUACGGGAGGCAGCAGUGGGGAAUAUUGGACAAUGGGCGCAAGCCUGAUCCAGCCAUACCGCGUGGGUGAAGAAGGCCUUCGGGUUGUAAAGCCCUUUUGUUGGGAAAGAAAAGCAGCAGGUUAAUACCCCGCUGUUCUGACGGUACCCAAAGAAUAAGCACCGGCUAACUUCGU
rnacentral:rRNA from 1 species